rnacentral:rRNA from 1 species
CUACGGGUUGCUGCAGUGGGGAAUAUUGGGCAAUGGGCGCAAGCCUGACCCAGCAACGCCGCGUGAGGGAAGAAGGUUUUCGGAUUGUAAACCUCUGUCCUUGGGGACGAAGAAGUGACGGUACCCAAGGAGGAAGCUCCGGCUAACUACGUGCCAGCAGCCGCGGUAAUACGUAGGGAGCAAGCGUUGUCCGGAAUUACUGGGCGUAAAGGGUGCGUAGGCGGCAUAUUAAGUCAGGUGUGAAAUACUCGGGCUCAACCCGGGGGCUGCAUUUGAAACUGAUAUGCUUGAGUGUGAGAGAGGAAAGUGGAAUUCCUAGUGUAGCGGUGGAAUGCGUAGAUAUUAGGAGGAACACCAGUGGCGAAGGCGACUUUCUGGCUCAUAACUGACGCUGAGGCACGAAAGCGUGGGGAGCAAACAGGAUUAGAUACCCGAGUAGUC